rnacentral:rRNA from 1 species
CACGGGUGAGUAACACGUAUCCAACCUGCCGUCUACUCUUGGACAGCCUUCUGAAAGGAAGAUUAAUACAAGAUGGCAUCAUGAGUCCGCAUGUUCACAUGAUUAAAGGUAUUCCGGUAGACGAUGGGGAUGCGUUCCAUUAGAUAGUAGGCGGGGUAACGGCCCACCUAGUCUUCGAUGGAUAGGGGUUCUGAGAGGAAGGUCCCCCACAUUGGAACUGAGACACGGCCCAA